rnacentral:rRNA from 1 species
GACGAACGCUGGCGGCGUGCUUAACACAUGCAAGUCGAACGGAAAGGCCCUGCUUUUGUGGGGUGCUCGAGUGGCGAACGGGUGAGUAACACGUGAGUAACCUGCCCUUGACUUUGGGAUAACUUCAGGAAACUGGGGCUAAUACCGGAUAGGAGCUCCUGCUGCACGGUGGGGGUUGGAAAGUUUCGGCGGUUGGGGAUGGACUCGCGGCUUAUCAGCUUGUUGGUGGGGUAGUGGCUUACCAAGGCUUUGACGGGUAGCCGGCCUGAGAGGGUGACCGGCCACAUUGGGACUGAGAUACGGCCCAGACUCCUACGGGAGGCAGCAGUGGGGAAUAUUGCACAAUGGGCGGAAGCCGGAUGCAGCAACGCCGCGUGCGGGAUGACGGCCUUCGGGUUGUAAACCGCUUUCGCCUGUGACGAAGCGUGAGUGACGGUAAUGGGUAAAGAAGCACCGGCGAACUACGU